AACCUUUCUUGGAACCCUAUCAUACGCUUUCUUGAGAUCAUUAAACACCAUAUGUAGGUCCUUCUUCUUUUCUCGAUAUCUCUUUAUCGAUUGUCGUAUCAAGAAGAUAGCCUCCAUGAUAGAUCUUCCUGGCAUAAAUCCAAAUUGAUUUACAGAGACCUUGGACCCUAUUCUUAAACGAUGCUCAAUAACUCUCUUCCACAACUUCAUUGUAUGACUCAUAAGCUUAAUGCCUCUAUGGUUGGAACAAUUCUGGAUAUUCCCUUUGUUUUUGUAGAUAGGCACAAGCAUACUCUUUCUCCAUUCAUCAGCCAUCUUAUUAGUUUGGAAAAUCUUGUUAAAAAGGUUAGUCAACUAACUUAUUGCCACAUCCCCUAAGCAUCUCCACAUUUCAAUAGGGACACCACCGGGUCCCAAGGCUUUGCUAGUCUUCAUCUUCUUUAAUGCCUCCUUAAAGUCAUGCGCUCUAAUUCUACGCACAAACCUUCUGUUUAAAUCAUCAAAAGCGUCAUCCAAAUUCACCUCACUUCUAUCGCUCUCUCCAUUAAAAAGCUUGUUAAAAUAGCUCAUCCACUUUUCCUUAAUUUGUGCGUCUCUUACUAAGAGUUUUUGAUUUUCAUCCUUGAUGCAUCUAACCUGUGUCAAGUCUUUACUUUUCUUGUCCCUUAUCUUUGCAAACCUAUAGAUACCUUUUUCUCCCUCUUUGCUCCCACGUUUUUUCGAG